rnacentral:rRNA from 1 species
UAACUUACCGGAAACGGAAGCUAAUACCGAAUACGACCACCGGAGGCAUCUUCUGGUGGUGGAAAGUUCCGGCGGUGAAGGAUGAGCUCGCGGCCUAUCAGCUUGUUGGUGGGGUAACGGCCUACCAAGGCGACGACGGGUAGCCGGCCUGAGAGGGUGACCGGCCACACUGGGACUGAGACACGGCCCAGACUCCUACGGGAGGCAGCAGUGGGGAAUAUUGGACAAUGGGCGAAAGCCUGAUCCAGCAACGCCGCGUGAGGGAUGACGGCCUUCGGGUUGUAAACCUCUUUCAGCAGGGACGAAGCGAAAGUGACGGUACCUGCAGAAGAAGCACCGGCCAACUACGUGCCAGCAGCCGCGGUAAUACGUAGGGUGCAAGCGUUGUCCGGAAUUAUUGGGCCGUAAAGGGCUCGUAGGCGGUCCAUCGCGUCGGGAGUGAAAAGCUGGGGCUUAACCCCAGUCCUGCUUCCGAUACGGGUGGACUAGAGGUAGGCAGGGGAGAACGGAAUUCCUGGUGUA